rnacentral:tRNA from 1 species
CAGUAAAUAGUUUAUUACAAAAAUUUUAAUUUUGGAUAUUAAAGAAAUUCAUUUUUUGCUGA